UUUGUUUUACACACACAAUGGUGUUUUGUCGUAUUCUAAGCUAGGGAUCCGAUGUGUCAUCUGGAAUAGUUGUGGAAGCAUUAGACAACAACUCGAAUUGUUCUUCUUAAGGGAGGGAGGGAGGAUAGGCUGAAAGAUGAGGGUGAAGGACCGAAACCCGUUUCUGAAGUCUAUUGUGAUUCUGUUUCUUUACAACUUACCGUGUUUGUUUGUGCGUGCUCGAUGUCUUGUCCAGAUCCAUGUGCCAAAGCCCAAUUAAGGUUACAUAAUGGGUGCCUCUAGCUAUCUGUGUGAAGAUGGUUAAGAAGCGGUUUAUGAAAUUCUACAACAAGUCAACAACCAUUCUAUAUCAUUAAGAGGCAGCAACAGGUUGGUUGAGGUAGAUGCAAUGUUUGCAAAACGACCAUCUGACCCAUUCAAAUUUUAGAGCUUUUGUGCUCAUUUUUUGUGAAGUUGAAUAUGAUUGAUUCCUUGUACGUAUUUGUAUCAUAGUAUACAUGAAAUUAUUAACUGUGAACACUAGCUAGCAAUAAAUGAUUCAUUUCAC
rnacentral:lncRNA from 1 species